rnacentral:rRNA from 1 species
UCAGUCGACUCCUACGGGGAGGCAGCAGUGGGGAAUAGUUGCACAAUGGGGGAAACCCUGGAUGCAGCCAUGCCGCGUGUAGUGAAGAAGGCCUUCGGGGUUGUAAAGCACUUUCAGUAGGGAGGAAGGUAGUGUAGUUAACACCUGCAUUAUUUGACGUUACCUACAGAAGAAGCACCGGCUAACUCCGUGCCAGCAGCCGCGGUAAUACGGAGGGUGCGAGCGUUAAUCGGGAAUUACUGGGCGUAAAGCGCAUGCAGGCGGCCUGUUAAGUCAGAUGUGAAAGACCCGGGGCUUAACCUCGGAAUUGCAUUUGAAACUAGGCAGGCUAGAGUCUUGUAGAGGGGGGUAGGAAUUUCAGGUGUAGCGGUGAAAUGCGUAGAGAUCUGAAGGAAUACCAGUGGCGAAGGCGGCCCCCUGGACAAAGACUGACGCUCAGAUGCGAAAGCGUGGGGAGCAAACAGGAUUAGAUACCCCUGGUAG